rnacentral:rRNA from 1 species
UGAGGAAUAUUGGUCAAUGGGCGAGAGCCUGAACCAGCCAAGUAGCGUGCAGGAUGACGGCCCUAUGGGUUGUAAACUGCUUUUGUAUGGGGAUAAAGUCAAUCACGUGUGAUUGUUUGCAGGUACCAUACGAAUAAGGACCGGCUAAUUCCGUGCCAGCAGCCGCGGUAAUACGGAAGGUCCGGGCGUUAUCCGGAUUUAUUGGGUUUAAAGGGAGCGUAGGCCGGAGAUUAAGUGUGUUGUGAAAUGUAGACGCUCAACGUCUGACUUGCAGCGCAUACUGGUUUCCUUGAGUACGCACAACGUUGGCGGAAUUCGUCGUGUAGCGGUGAAAUGCUUAGAUAUGACGAAGAACUCCGAUUGCGAAGGCAGCUGACGGGAGCGCAACUGACGCUUAAGCUCGAAGGUGCGGGUAUCGAACAGGAUUAGAUACCCUGGUAGUCCGCACAGUAAACGAUGGAUGCCCGCUGUUGGUACCUGGUAUCAGCGGCUAAGCGAAAGCAUUAAGCAUCCCACCUGGGGAGUACGCCGGCAACGGUG